UACGUAGGGUGCGAGCGUUGUCCGGAAUUAUCGGGCGUAAAGAGCUCGUAGGCGGUUUGUCGCGUCUGCUGUGAAAACCUAAGGCUCAACCUUGGGCUUGCAGUGGGUACGGGCAGACUAGAGUGCGGUAGGGGUGACUGGAAUUCCUGGUGUAGCGGUGGAAUGCGCAGAUAUCAGGAGGAACACCGAUGGCGAAGGCAGGUCUCUGGGCCACUACUGACGCUGAGAAGCGAAAGCAUGGGGAGCGAACAGG
rnacentral:rRNA from 1 species